GUCCCUUUGGCAGCACACAUACCAAAACUGGAACGAUUCAGAGAUCAGCACGGCCCCUUCAAAAGGAUGAUACACAAAUUUGUAAAGUGUCCCAUGGCGGG
ensembl:snRNA U6 U6 spliceosomal RNA